UUUUGCUAGGAGAAGACUGAAAAUAUUGAGGAUUCCUCAACUGUGGCUGAAUUGGGAAUGAUGCUCAGGAGCCUGCUUAGAAAGGGAAGAUUGGUGCAUGCUAGUUUGUCUGCAAAUAAAUCAUGAGCUGGAAGAAAGAUAAACUCUGACUUUAGCAAAGGAGUGCAAGGAAAUCAGACAUAUAUCCAGAAACACUAAAAACUAGAUGAAAGGACAGAAUACCCUCUGGAUUUUCUUCUCAUGUGAACAGUACACUGGCUGAAGUAUUCAAUCAGUUUAUAGGAUCAGCUAACUUUACUACAAAACAACAUUAUGCAAAAGGGCAUUUAACAAAAAUUGAAGGACAGUCUGACAAUGAGACAAAUUAUAGAAAUAUGUAAUGUAGCAUUGAGAAGAAAGAAGAAAAGGCAGGAUGGCAUCUUAGAGAAGAACUGGUUCAGAGGUAUGAGUUUUCAUCGUCAACAAUGUGCUUUGUCAGAUACUUUGAAAAUAUACCUGACAAAGUAGGUUGUUGCCUUCCAAAGCUCAUCUCUCCCUGAACUAAUCUCAAAAUACCAUCCAGGUCUAAAUUCUGCUUAACUUCCGGCUAUUCUUGUACUCAAAAGAAAUAGGAAAACAAAGAUUUAGAAAGCAAAUACGACUAUGGAAAAGCUUCAUGUUGGCCAUGUGACAAACAAAUGGAUGAAAGAUGCUCAUUUGACUGGAUGAAGAAUGAU